rnacentral:rRNA from 1 species
CGGCGGACGGGUGAGUAACACGUGGAUAACCUACCUAUAAGACUGGGAUAACUUCGGGAAACCGGAGCUAAUACCGGAUAAUAUAUUGAACCGCAUGGUUCAAUAGUGAAAGACGGUUUGCUGUCACUUAUAGAUGGAUCCGCGCCGCAUUAGCUAGUUGGUAAGGUAACGGCUUACCAAGGCAACGAUGCGUAGCCGACCUGAGAGGGUGAUCGGCCACACUGGAACUGAGACACGGUCCAG